UUUUUCUCAGACUAGCCAUGCACGUCUAGUACAAACUAAAUGAUGGUGAAACUGCAAAUGGCUCAUUACAACGGUUAUGAUGUACCCGGGAGUUCCGAUGGAUAUUUCCAGUAACACUAGAACUAAUACAUGUCCCUGCGUUUAUUAGUUUCGCACAGUCCGUCGCUGAGUCAUGGUAAACAGUUGAUCGACUCGACGUCCCGGAACAGUUUCCGCCCCAUCAGCUUCGAUGGUUGGGUAUUGGCCUACCAUUGCAACAACGGGUAACGAGGAAUUAGGGUUUGAUUUCGGAGAGGGAGCCUGAGAAACGGCUACCACAUCUACGGAUGGCAGCAGGCGCGCAAAUUACCCAAUGCAGACACUGUGAGGUAGUGACGAGAAAUAAUAAAGCGGGACUUCUGUUUCGCUAUUAUAAUGAGGAAUAACCAAAGGUCAUUCCGAUUAGCAACUGAUGGGAAAGUCUGGUGCCAGCAGCCGCGGUAAUACCAGCGUCAGUAGCA
rnacentral:rRNA from 1 species